AUUGACCGCUGGCGGCAGGCCUAACACAUGCAAGUCGAACGAGUGGCGGACGGGUGAGUAAUGUCUGGGGAACUGCCCGAUGGAGGGGGAUAACUACUGGAAACGGUAGCUAAUACCGCAUACCAUCGGAUGUGCCCAUAUGGGAUUAGCUAGUAGGUUGGGUAAUGGCCCCCCUAGGCGACGAUCCCUAGCUGGUCUGAUAGGAUGACCAUCCACACUGGAACUGAGACACGGUCCAGACUCCUACUGGAGGCAGCAGUGGGGAAUAUUGCACAAUGGGCGCAAGCCUGAUGCAGCCAUGCCGCGUGUAUGAAGAAGGCCUUCGGGUUGUAAAGUACUUUCAGCGGGGAGGCGUUACCCGCAGAAGAAGCACCGGCUAACGCCGUGCCAGCAGCCGCGGUAAUAC
rnacentral:rRNA from 1 species